GAGAAUGACAGACGGUACUGUAACAUUGUGUGGGGACAGGUGGCGGCCACACUUGUGGUGAGCACAGUGUAAGGUACAGGGAAGCUGAAUCACAAUGUGACACACCUAAAACUAUUGUAACAUUGGGUGUGAACUAUACUCAAACUUGUAAAAAUGGUUAAAAGAGUGUGGUUCACAAAAACACUAAAAUGUCAAAAAUGAAGACUUCUGAAAUGCCAUAUUUUGUCUAACCUGUAACAGCCCUGACAUAAGGAAAUGUAUACUGUCCCCAAGCACCAAAGGAAGGACAUAACCCAUAUGGCUGAAGAAACCCCAGGGCAUGAGGACAGGUGACACAGCAGGUACAGCAAGGCUGGCAAGGCCCCGGGGAAGAGCCGGUUGUGCAGCAGGGCACGGGUCAGGACAAAGCGGCAUUGGGAUGGACCCCGGAGCUCCUCAGAAUCGCCUGCCCCACCAGGCCAAGCAAAGUUAUUUCACUGUCUGUGAUUUGACUUUCCAUUCCCAUCCCAUCCCCUAUCCACAACGGGGGCCCCAGUCUCAGGCCUAGCCUCUCCCAGGGACAAGAAGGGAAGAGGGGAAGGAGAAGACACCAGGUGGACAAUUAACAAGGCAAUCUUUCCUCCCUGCUUCUGUCACCGCUGAUAACACCAACACUGUCCAUCCCACGACCAGGCUGAACCCAAUCCAGUAGCUCUGGCCCAUGCAUCUCCUUUAUUUCAGUAUCCAGGCAGUCUUCUAUGUGUCUGCCAUGCCCACGUCCUGUGGGCCCCAUUCCUACUGAGGGGUAGGUGGAAGCCCUAGAGGCAUCACGAAUGAAGCACACCAGGACACACCGCGAGGGCCCCCAAAAUCAGCCGUGGAACAACAUGGAAGUGAGACAAGACCCUCUCCCCAAACCUGGACAGGGUAAGUGCCUCCCAGAACAAGAUCCAGAGGUUCCCAAGUGCCAGGAAAACCAGAAUCUGAGUGAGAAAAGGCAGCACCAAGAUGAAUCCGUAUCGGCAGUAUUUGACAGGGUUUUAAGGCAGCCAGUAAGAAAAAUGCCACAACGGGCAAGUGUUACUCAAAACCAAAAAGAAAAGACAACAAAAAAGAAAACCUCACCAGUGGGAUAGAAGAUAUGGAACCAAAUGGAAAUCUGUAACUGAAAAAUACAGUAACCAAAAUGUAAAACCUCAGUGGAUGGGUUCAACAGCAGAAUGAAUAUGACAGAGGAAAGAAUCCAUGAUUUUGAAGACAGAACAAUAGAAAAUAGCUCGAUUACCAGAGAGAAAACAGAGUAAACAAACAAACAGACUCUGAAAGCUGAAAGCGGAGGAGCCAACACUCACAACCAAGAGGUCACAGGGCAGGUCAGGGACAGCAGGGCUGCGAGACACCUGCAGAAACACAGGCUGCAAACUCCCAGGUUUGGUAAAAGACACUGCAUCCAGAUUCAAGAAACCGAGAAAAUCCCAAACAGGGUAACCCCAGAGAAAGCCUUCCUGAGACGUGUCAUAAUUAGACACGUGGAAACAGGAGACACGGGAAGAGUGGGCGCAUCAUAGAUGACCCUUCCCGACAGGACCACUGACGCUGUGAUGGCAACUGUCCCAUCAGGGGGCGUGGCGGCCACAGGAGGGGGCGCGAGGUUGUCCAGAUGCCAGAAGUAGUAAGCUGCCCAAGCCCUAGUUCUGCCGCACUCUCAUCUGGGCCUCACCACAGAUCUGGAAGAGAGGCAAACAUGGCCCACCUGCCCAGGGGGCCAGCGACCCGGACUCCAUGCUGCCACGAUCUACCGGCUUCCUGACGCAUCACCUUCCUCUGCUGGAAAGCGCAACCUGGCCCUGACGUGGGACACUCUCCCGCAGAUGCGGGGUGCCAUGGGGAGCCGCGGGGGCGCCACACUGACUCCCGCGGCCAGUAACAGCAGCUGCCGCCCAGUCGCCCUCCCACGGGGCCACAAGAGGAGCCAAGCAGAUCGCCAGUGAUAGAGACAACUUCUAAAGAAUCAUAGCCUACCAACCCUAUGCCACAUCUGUUUACCUUUAUUCUCCCAUCCUGGGCCCACACUUUUUAUUUUUAAAUACUUUCUUCUGUCUUCCUGAAACGUUACCAGAGCACUGAGAAGGGUUUUCUCAUUUUUGUAGUACUUGCGCUGUUUUUUAAAGGCUAUUUUCACACAGUUUUACAUCUGGCGAAUCACAGGACCACAGAAGACGAGCAUGACCUGGACGGAAGGAGCAGAAGCCGCAGCAGGGCAAUCUCCCGGGCCCUGGGCACCCCCUCCUGUUCCUCGGUGAUCUUUUGAAAAUACAAGUCUGAUCUCAAACCCCCCUGGCUCUGGGGUGGAUAUCUCCCUCCAAACUGCCCUUUGCGAGCCUCUGGCCACGCCCGCUCCGACCUACCCUAGCCCGCCCUGAGAUGCUGCUGCCUGGCAGUCCUGCUCUCUGCAGGGCCAGCCAACGAGCAUGCUCACCACCCCCGCCUGGCACUUCAGCUGCUGCUUGCAGGCCUGGGCUGCUCUGGCUACGUGGCCCCACCACUACGCCCCCCCAGGGCCUCCAACAAAGCAGGCUGCACACACAGAGCAGCUGAUCCUCUGUAACACGCCCGUGGCCGCACCCCAGGCCUCCCUGCAGGGCCACCCGUCUCCCAAAGGUCCUUGGGCCAGAUCUCCCCUGCCACACCCUGCUGCCCACACUCUCCAAUCACAGCCCAGUCUCAACAGUAAGCGAUUCAAAAUGCCUCAGCGAAAUAGAUGGCGGGCCCCCAAGGUCUUAAAAACACAAAAGCGAAGCGUGUGCCACCUCACCAGGGAACUGGGUCGUGAAACGCCAAGAAUGUAUCGAGUGAUGACAGGCAGGUUACCUGACAUUUGGUCUGAGAACCUGAUCGAGAUGGAACCCCCUCCGCAAACCUCUUGCA